GACGAACGCUGGCGGCGUGCUUAACACAUGCAAGUCGAACGGGAACCUUUAUUUCGGUAAAGGUGAGAGUGGCAAACGGGUGAGUAACACGUAGGCAACCUGCCGACAGGAUGGGGACAACAUUCCGAAAGGAAUGCUAAUACCGAAUGAAGUCACCGGAGGGCAUCCUCUGGUGAUGAAAGAUGGCCUCUGAAUAUGCUAUCACCUGUCGAUGGGCCUGCGUCUGAUUAGCCAGUUGGCGGGGUAACGGCCCACCAAAGCGACGAUCAGUAGCCGGUCUGAGAGGAUGAACGGCCACAUUGGGACCGAGACACGGCCCAGACUCCUACGGGAGGCAGCAGUGGGGAAUCUUCCACAAUGGGCGAAAGCCUGAUGGAGCAACGCCGCGUGAGUGAAGAAGGUCUUCGGAUCGUAAAGCUCUGUUGCACGGGACGAAAACCGAGC
rnacentral:rRNA from 1 species